GCGCGGCGCGGCCGCGGCGCCGGCGUGGUUCAGAAUCAAUCCAGAUCUCGCGACCUGGGCCGCGUUGCGUACUACUCGUAGUUGUUUAGGGGCAGUUUGGAUGCAGGGUUUGGUUGGUGCUGUCCUCCUCUCUGAACUCUCUGAUACUCUGCUGUCUCCUCUCCUCUCGUCGUCUCGCCGGUGAACCUAACCAAAAUUACAGGUAUCCUCGUUAGC
rnacentral:lncRNA from 1 species